rnacentral:tRNA from 1 species
GCACCCCUAGCUCAAUUGGAUAGAGCAUCGGUCUACGGAACCGAAGGUUACUGGUUCGAACCCAGUGGGGUGUA